rnacentral:rRNA from 1 species
UACAGAGGGUGCGAGCGUUAAUCGGAAUUACUGGGCGUAAAGCGCACGUAGGUGGCGACGUAAGUCGGGUGUGAAAGCCCCGGGCUCAACCUGGGAAUUGCAUUCGAGACUGCAUUGCUGGAGUACGGAAGAGGAGGGCGGAAUUCCCGGUGUAGCGGUGAAAUGCGUAGAUAUCGGGAGGAACAUCAGUGGCGACGGCGGCCCUCUGGUCCAGUACUGACACUCAAGUGCGAAAGCGCGGGGAGCCUACAGG